UCCGAGAGACAAAUAAUCUUGGUAUAUUAAAUCUGUCAAAUUGUACGGAAAGAGGAAAAUCUUUGACUGUUUAGUUUACAAACGGCCAUGCUCGGGGGAAAAUUGCGUGAAUGAUAUGAAGUUUGAUGGUUAUUCUUACACCGUACUGAACAUGGGGAAUUACCUAAUAUCCUAUGAAGUUCUAAGGGAAUACAUGUUCUUGUUUUUGAAAGGAGGUGUAUCCAUGAAUACGUAUUACCAGUCAUGGGCGUUGUCUCUAGAGUCUUCUUUGAACAUCAAUUUAAACGAUACGCUAAAAUAUAACCAUUGGCGAUCAGCAUGGUAUGCGUUCUUGCAACUUCUGGACAUUGAUUUCACAGAUGGUUUUGAAUGCCCAACGUGCAAAAGU